UUGGAAAAAUUUCUUCAAGUUAUAAAUAACUUGAAGAAUGCCUUAUGGCGAAAUUACUAAACGGAGAAUGACACUCACGUUCAAUACCUUUACAAAGGACUAGGUAUUGAACACCAUACACUCUCACUAACAAACUAAACUGGAUUCAAGAGCUAUACUCCGAAAUCCAACAAAACACAGAAUGCUAUAACUAAUGUUAUCCCAACACGAGAAACAGCACUCCUAAACAGAUCACUCAAAAGCUAGAUAUCUUCUCUCAAAGUUCGUGAUCUGAACUGGGACUUCUCCUUGGUAUAUAUAGGCAUCUCAAUCUUGCUUCCCAAGGCUUGAAGUCGUGGCUUGGAUCAUGGAUGAAGUGGCCGUUUGAUAGUUGUUGGAUUUAGUCCACUUCUUCCUUGAUUUUAGGAGCUGCCACACGCUCCUUUCUCUCUCUCUUUAUCUCUACUUGUUCCUUCCUUUUCUCAACAGAAUUUGUUCCUUCUUUUCCUCCUUCAUCCUUCACGUCUUCCAUCAUUUCUUGACUCGGUCCAAACACCUAAAAACACACAAUGAAGAAAGAGCAAAACACACUUAUUCAAGACUAACAAACUCCCCCUUUUUGCCUUUCUUCACAAAACCAACACACAUACUUCUCCCCCUUGAUGUGAUCUCCCCCUGCAAAGAUAACAGUACAAAACACACCAACAAGAACAGCAGCAAACAUACUAAACUUUCAAGAAACAGGGUAAAAACCGUCAACUAGCAAGAAUGCAUAAGCAAGUCAAAGACCCAACAAUCAAACACAACAAAAGAAACAACUUAAGCAUCCAACAAACAAACAAAAAAAAAGCUAGUAAAAGUUCUAGUGAAAGUUCAUCAAAUGUUCUGCCUGCUCAAACAACAUUCAUCAAGCAACACCACUCCCCCUGACUUUACUCUCCUGUUCCCUCAGCAGCAUCAGCAGCAGCAUCUUCUCCCCCUUUUUGGGAAGAAAGGAGGGCAGUUAACUGUCCUUUGGCUUUAUUCAGGAUUGACGAUGACUCCCCCUGAAUUCUUCGGGCUUGCAGAAGGCUGUUCUCCAAUUCGUCGAUAUGCUGCAACAGGGCCUGCAAUGUUGCCUUAGGGAUUGUGAUCAUGGUAGUGUCCUCAACAGAGGGAGCAGCAACUGGAUUAACCCAGGGCAGAUCAGCAACUUUGCCCUCGCUAAAGAGCAUGCUCGUAAGCGCAUACUCAUGAAUGACCUCCCUCUUGGCAGACGCUUUCACCUGUACACCUUGACUCCGAAGUGCCCUGAAAAUCAAAGAGGGGAACGGCAACCCCGACAAUUGAGAAGAAGCGGCAAUUUGAUCAAAGAUAACCUGACCUAGAUUAAAUGGCAAUCCUUCUCCAAUGCAAUAUAGAAGAAUGCCGUGCUGUUGUGUAACCACGGUGGAGUUGGUUGACACAAUCCAAUUCAUGGUCAUGAUCUUGAACAAAGCAGAAUAAAGAUAGGACAAGGUGGAUGAUUUCAUUGGCUUUAACCAUUUCCGCACUUUCCCACCAGUGAUGACUGAGGCCACUUUGUCCAUGUUCUUUACCGCUGUGGGCUUCACAUCAGGCGUGCCAAGAAUUCCAUUGAUGACCGAAGGCGUCAAAUUAAAGACCGUGUUCCUGUAAAAAGCUUUCCCGUACUUCCGGGACUUUGGAUUUCCGAAAUCGGCUGUCAAGUUGCUAUAUAUCAGCUGCACCACUGCUUUAACAAACGGCUCUACCUCCGUCACGGACUUGAACAGAUGGCGAGAUUUGAAGAACUCCACCAGAUUGAGCACUUUAAAUGAAUCUUGCUCGAUGUUCCGCUCACCAUAACAUUCCAUCUUCUUGAUAUUUGGCCAAGACUUCUCUGCAGCAGCAGUGUAGAAGAAGUCCUUGAAAGUUUUGCUAGCCUCCAUGUCGGAGCCUUCGAGUUCCUCGUCUUCUACGUCCAUGUCUUCUUCCUCCGACUCUGUGGCAUCUGGUGUUGUGGGCGCAGCCGAGGUGGUAGCCUUCAUCUUUCCCUCACGAAUGGCUUUCCGUUUGAGCUUUGUCAACACCGCAGUGAGAGGUGUGUCAUCUUCGGAAGGGUUCUCUGCUGCUACUUCUGCUUCGGCCUCGUUGAGCAGAGUAUCAAGAGAUUGUUCCUGAGAAGGGACUGUGGUCUCCUCUGUUGGAGCAGCAGAUUCCUCAUCAGCGGUGGAGGUUUCUACCGUCGGGCCGGACUUGCGUGCUUGCUUGGCUGGGGGCUCGUCCUCUUCGGAUUCGUCAAGUAGCACCAUCUUCGGAGGUCCGGGUUUUGAAACCCUAGGUUGAGUGGGGAUUCGAUUUGACCUCCGUACCGCCUUGAGCUUGGGCCUAGAGGUUUCGGCCCCCUUCUUCUUGCGUUUAUUUGAGGAUUUUUCAGGUUCCCCUUGCUUCGCCGGUUUUUCGACCGGUGAAUCGGCAGAAUGCUCAAUGGUAGAAAUGGGCGCCGGAUUCAGCACCGCUUUUGGGACUUCCGGUGUUUGAGACAUCGGUGGUGGAGCGUAUCCGCUUGUUGUUGCUGGAGUUGUCAUCGGAGCAGGUAGUGACGGCAACGGUGGAACAGCUUGAUUUUCCGGCAAUGAGAUGGUGGCUAGGGCUGCUUGAAAUUGGGGAUUUGAUAAGAUCUGUCUAAUAAGCUCAAUAGUGUUUGGGUUAGACAUUUUGAGAGCACAAAAAGACUAAGUACAAAACGAGAGGAAACAAAGAGUCUCUCACGCAGAUCUAAGUGCAAUGAUGAAGAAUGGUGAUGAUGUGAUUUGCAUGCAGUGAAUAAAUACUACUCCCUCCGUCCCGCUAAAGUUGGCAACAUUCGUUUCGGCACGGUGUUGCUGGAGUUGUCAUCGGAGCAGGCAGGGACGGCAACGGUGGAACAGCUUGAUUUUCCGGCAAUGAGAUGGUGGCUAGGGCUGCUUGAAAUUGGGGAUUUGAUAAAAUCUGUCUAAUAAGCUCAAUAGUGUUUGGGUUAGACAUUAUGAGAGCACAAAAAGACUAAGUACAAAACGAGAGGAAGCAAAGAGUCUCUCACGCAGAUCUAAGUGCAAUGAUGAAGAAUGGUGAUGAUGUGAUUUGCAUGCAGUGAAUAAAUACUAAAGAAAUCAGAUCCAAUCACUAACAAACCAAAUCUUUCAAGAAAAUCUUCACCAUAAAAUUCGAAAAUUAGGGUUGGAAGGAGAUUAAGAUAGAGAUAUGCUCAAAUCAAGAACAAGAUAUGCGUAACAAAUUACAGAACCUGCGGAUCAGAGAGAGAAUCCCAUGAAAAUCGGAACCAAAAACUUCACAGAUUUUCCAGAAUUAUUAUAUCUAAUGUUCUGCCUUCUGUUAUAACAACAUCCCCUAACACAUAACUCAGUUAAACUUUAUUUCGCACUUAUAAGCACAGCACCAAGUAAAAUUCACUCAUUUUUAUUGACAUAGAGAACAUCGUCGCAGCGAACGCCGUGCCCCUAGUCUAAAUUUGUGAAAGCAAUCGAGGAUGGCCAUUUUGUAAGGUAGCAUCGUCGCAGCGAACGCCGUGCCCCCCAAACUACUUUGGCUUUUUCUGUGCUUUAUAUAUAUUAUACACACAAACUGAGUUAGUGAAGAAGAACGUGUUGAAACAACAUAGAGCAUCACACAGACAAAAAGACAGUUGCAUCUAAGAGUAUUUCUUUUGAAUCUGAUGCAACAAACAUUUCCUUUUUCAUUAGUUUCGAAGGCAAAGGCCAAGAGCCCUUCUUAACAUGGUGAAUCUCUCAAAAUCCAAAGGUUUAGUAAAAAUAUCCGCAAUUUGGUUCUCGGUUGGAACAUACUCUAACUUAAUUACCUCUUGUUCCACUAAAUCGCGAAUAAAGUGGUGUCGAAUAUCGAUGUGCUUGGUUCGUGAGUGUUGGACCGGAUUCUUUGAAAUGUUUAUUGCACUGAUGUUGUCGCAGUGCAUCACCAUCACAUCACUCGUCACACCGUAAUCUGACAACAUUUGUCUCAACCAAAGAAGUUGAGAGCAACAACAACCUGCAGCAACAUAUUCGGAUUCUGCAGUAGAGAGAGACACACAAUUUUGCUUUCUACUAUGCCACGACACCAAGUUAUUUCCAAGAUAAAAACACCCACCACUUGUACUUUUCCUAUCAUUAGUAUCCCCUGCCCAAUCUGAAUCACUAAAAGCUACAAGGUUCGUGUUAGAAUCUUUGGAGAAAAAAAUGCCAAGAUCAAGUGUGCCAGCCACAUACCUUAUCACACGUUUUACCGCUUUUAAAUGAGACUCUUUAGGAUCAGCUUGAUACCUGGCACAAACACAUACGCUGAACAUGAUAUCAGGUCGUGUUGCGGUGAGAUAUAGGAGGCUUCCAAUCAUUGAUCUGUAGAGUGUUGGGUCUACUGCCUCCCCAGCAUUGUCUUUCGACAGAGUGUCGCUUGAUCCCAUUGGCGUGCGCAUGUGCUUUGCACCUUCCAGAUUGAACCUCUUCACCAUAUCUCGUGCAUACUUCCCCUGUGAGAUGAAAAUUCCUUCCGGUUCUUGCUUGACUUGGAUCCCUAAAAAGAAUGUUAGUUCACCCACCAUGCUCAUCUCGAACGUGGUGGUCAUGGCCCUUGCAAAAUCAUCUAACAAAUGUUGUGAGGUAGCACCGACAAUCAUAUCAUCAACAUAGAUUUGAGUGAUCAAAAUAUCACUUCUUUCUCUUUUAAUAAACAAUGUCCUAUCAGCAUAACCUCUCACAAAUCCAAACUCAAGUAAGAAGGAAGUUAGAUGUCCAUACCAUGCUCGAGGGGCUUGUUUAAGGCCGUAGAGAGCCUUCUUUAGCCUGUAGACGUGGUGUGGUCUGUGUGGAUCUUCAAAACCUUUCGGCUGCUCUACAUACACCUCUUCUUUUAGGAUGCCGUUGAGGAAUGCUCCUUUAACAUCCAUUUGGUACAGCUUGAUGUUGAGAUGACACGCAAUUGCAAGAAGCAGCCGUAUUGACUCGAUGCGGGCGACUGGAGCAAAAGUGUCAUCGAAGUCAACACCUUCGACUUGGGUGUAACCUUGCGCCACAAGUCUCGCCUUGUUCCUCACUAUCGUCCCACACUCGUCUGAUUUGUUCUUGAAGAUCCACUUUGUGCCGAUCACAUUCCUGUCAGCAGGUCUAGACACAAGAUACCAAACAUCACUUCGAACAAACUGGUUAAGUUCAUCUUGCAUGGCUAGCAUCCAGAAUUCAUCACGUAAUGCCUCCUUGACUGUUUUUGGUUCAAAUUUCGAUACAAAACACAAAAACCUGGUAUAGACGUGCAAAGAGAAGACAUGCAAAUCAUCUUCCGGUAAUCAACUGGGGUUUACCUCUUGUGGUCAUGCCAUCACUUACAUUGCCAAUUACUUGGGAGGUUGGGUGAUUUUUGUGAAUCCUUCUGGAGGGUGCAUUAUUCACAUUUUCUCCUUGUUAUUGGGGGUUCCUUCUUCAUCGGUAUCACACUGUUCUUCUGGUGUUGUGGUGUGAUUUCUUCUGUUGCCUCAGCAUCUGCAGUUUCAUCCUCUGCUGGCAUCACAAUGUCCAUCACCUGCUCUUCUCUAUUAUUCUCAUCUGCAAUACUCCUCACAUCAUCAAAUACCACAUUUACAGAUUCUUGAAAGUUUGGCUUCUCAAGUUAAAGACUCGAUAGGCUUGACUAUUCAAUGAAUAUCCCAAAAAGAUACUUUGUCACUUUUUUCAUCAAACUUUGUGAGAUAUUCUCUGUCAUUCAGUAUAUGACACACACACCCAAAGACAUGAAAGUAUUUAGAUUUGGCUUCUUACCACGCAGAAUUUCAUAUGGAGUUUUGAACGUACCAGGUCUGAUGUUGACUCGAUUGUUGAUAUGCAUGCGGUGUUCACACUUCUGCCCAGAAGCUUGUGCAAUUUCUUUGAGCCAACAUCACUCUUGCCAUCUCCACCAGGGUUCGGUUCUUUCGUUCCACAACUCCGUUCUGCUGGGCGUCUUGGGGGCUGAGAAUUCUUGAAAAAUCCUUUCUUUCACAAAAAUUUGUGAAAGCCGCAUUCUCGAACUCACGUCCAUGGUCAGACCUUAUUCUUGCAUUCUCGCAAAACAUGUUAGUAAACCGGGCAAAGAGUGUUUUGAAAACAUCAAUAGUUUCAGAUUUUUCACGUAAGAAAAAGGUCCACGUAACUUGAAAAAUCAUCCACUAAGACAUACACAUACCGUUUACCUCCAAUACUUUCAACACCAACUGGUCCUACCAAAUCCAUGUGAACCAGUUCAAAGCAUCGGGUCGUACCAAAAUGUUGUUCAGCUUGUUGGGUAGCACGAUGGGUGGCAUGGAUCUGCUUCCCUUUUUGACAACUCUCACAACUUCUUUUCCUUUUGCUGAUUUUUGGGAGACCUCGGACUGCUUCCAAUUUGGACAACCUGUCAAGAUUCUUAAAAUUUGUGUGCCCUAACUUUUUGAUGCCACAACAUAGCUUUCAUCAAUUUGGGCUUUAUUGCAUUAGGAUCAUCGACAAGGUAACAGUUAUCACUAGAUCUUUGCCCUCUCAUUACACAACAAUUUUGAGUAUAAAAACCUCACAAGAGUCCUUGUUAAACUUAACAUGCAAAUUCUCAUCGCAUAGUUGACUAAUACUAAUCAAAUUUGCCAUAAGACCUUUAACAUGAAAACAUUUUUCAAACAAGGUAAGCCGGAACAUUUAGGUCCUUUACCAAUGAUCUUACCCUUCGACCACCACCAAAAGACACAAACCCACCAUCACAUACCUGAUAUUAUUAAGGUAGCAUUGUCACCUGUCAUGUGACGAGAACAUCCACUGUCGAAAUACCAUGAACUUGAGAUGUUAGUUUUCAGUGCUGUGAACACAACAUUACAUUUCAGUUCAUCUUUUCUGACCCACUUCAGACUUUUACGGCUUGUGGUGAUUUUUCUUCCCUUUGGUCUGUUUUCUUUGAGUUGACAAAGAUCUUCUUCUCGUCAUUGAACUUCCUGAAACAGAACGGUCGAAUGUGGCCAAUUUGAAAGCAAUAGUGACACACAUACCUCUUUCUUUGUGGUCGUGUCUGACCAACCGAAGUUCCUUCCACGACAAACUUCUUUCCAUGAGUAGAUUUUACCUUUGUCUUUCCAGGUGUGGGUUCAGCAGCGGGUGCAGCAGUGUAUCCAAGUCCAGUGGUGUCUGUAGUUCCUGCAGACACAAAAUCUUCAUACCUAUGCCGACUUGAAUUCCAUUUGGAAAUGGUGUUUUGAGCUUCCUCCUUGCUUUUUCCAUUUUCCCAGUAGUUCGUCAUAGAAUUUUUUAAGUUCCAUGACAACCAGCAUGGUCUCUUCGUUGCUCUCCUCAGUGUUACCUACACAUGCAUUAAAGCACAGACAAUUUGGAAAGAACCCUGUGUCAUACCUGUUUAACAGCUGGUCUCCUUCAUCAUCCUCAUCGUCGGACAAGGUUUUUCCAAACUUGACAUGGAAAGCUGACAGACCGGGAUCAUCAUCAUCUUCUUUUUCUUCCUUUGAGCUUUCCGAACCAUCGAAAAAUUCAGCCUCAUCAUCACUCCAAGACACCCAAUAUGAUUUGCCUCGUUUUCGAAGGGUGUUCGCACACUGGUUCGCAUAGUGACCAAACCCCUUGCACUCACGACAUUGAACAUUAUUGAUGAAAUUUGGAUCAUACCUGAAAGUUUCAGUCGUUGAGGCAACUUUCCUCAUUGGUCGUGGGGGUGUGAAGUCAUUCCUCUUAGGUGGUGCGGAAUCAUGCCUUGGAGAGCUUCCUUCUCGAUCAUUCUCUUUGGUCCGUCUAAGUUUUCUCACCAUAUUGUUGAACUUCCUUGUGAUGAGUGCAACAUCAUCUCCUUCGUGAAUCUCCUCCAAUUCUUCAGAAUCCUCUAGAUCACGUAUCUGAAGGAUGUGGCUGCUGGUUGUUGUCGUAGAUGAGCAUCCGGCAUUGAACGCAACAGCCUUCUUCUUGUGCAGCAAUCCUCUUUAUUCCAAUGUCAUCCGUCAAGCUCUGAUACCACUUGUUAGUGUUGCUUCCUUCAAACUUGAUGUGACACACUGUGCUUGCAACAUUCUGACUUGUUUCGAUGGCAGUAAUCUUCAUUUCAAAACGCGGUGGGAGCGUUCGUAGUGCUUUGGAGACAAGCACCCGAUUGCUGAUUGGAUCUCCGAGCUCACGACAUUCAUUAGCCACACUGAGUAUCCUCUUGGAAUACUCCUUGAUGUCUUCACCUUCAUCCAUCUUCAUGUUUUCGAACUUAGUGGUCAGGAGUCGCAGCCUUGUUUCUUUGACACUUGUGUCGCCCUCGCAAUGUCUCUGGAGUAUAUCCCAUUGUUCCUUGGCCGACGUGCUAUUCUUGAUGAGAUUGAACAUGUUCAUGUCCACGAAAGAAUAGAUAGCAUGCAUAGCCUUUUCGUUGAAAUUUGCCUCCUCGAACUCAGCUCGACUCCAUUGAGCAGGUGGUGUCAAGAUCACAUCACCAUGGGCAUCAGUGGUCUUGGGAGCAGACCACCCUUCUUCGACGCAGUGCCAGGCUUUAAGAUCGAUAGCCUUGAUGUACUGCCGGAUUCUUAUCCUCCAGGCCGAGUAGUUUGCACCAUCAAGGAUAGGAGGACGCAUAACACCAAACGGCUCCAUGUGGGAACAACUGUUGUAACAAUUGUGACGGUAAUUGUUGUAACAACACCAAGGAUCACACUCAGUGUAUCGAGUGUUGGCUCUGACGCCAAUUGAAAGUGUUGCUCCACACGAACCAAACGGAAACCUUGUGUUAAGGUAACACACCAAACAGCACAGAGUAAAACUUGCAGCGGAAAUAAAUCAACACAGAACUUUGGAAAAAUUUCUUCAAGUUAUAAAAUAACUUGAAGAAUGCCUUAUGGCGAAAUGACUAAAGGGAGAAUGACACUCACGUUCAAUACCUUUACAAUGGACUAGGUAUUGAACUCUAUACACUCUCACUAACAAACUCAAACUGGAUUCAAGAGCUACACUCCGAAAUCCAACAAAACAAAGAAUGCUAUAGCUAAUGUUAUCCUAACACGAGAAACAACACUCCUACACAGAUCACUCAAAAGCUUGAUAUCUUCUCUCAAAGUUCGUGAUCUGAACUGAACUCCUCCUUGGUAUUUAUAGAUCUUCAAAGCUUGAUCUCCAAGUGUGAGUUCGUGGGUUGGGAGGUGGAUGAGUGGUUGUUGAGUUAGUUGGAAGAAUCAGUCAACUCAAGCUACUCAUCCCUUUGAUUUAGGAGCUCCCAACAACUCCUCCUUUCUCUCUCCUUAUCUUCUCUUGCUCCUUCCUUCUCUCAACAGAAACGGUUCCUUCUUUUCCUCCUUCAACUUUCACGAUUUCCAUCUCUUGACUUGGUCACAACACCUACAAACACA
rnacentral:lncRNA from 1 species